rnacentral:rRNA from 2 species
GACGAACGCUGGCGGCGCGCUUAACACAUGCAAGUCGUGCGGUACCGAUGGCAAGUCUUCUUGACGAGCCUUCGGUAUAGCGGCGGACGGGUGAGUAACACGUGAGUAGCUGUCCUAGGGAGGGGGAUAACGCCUGGAAACGGGUGCUAAAACCCCAUAAGCCUCGAAAGAGGUAAAAGUGCAUCACUGCAGUCCUAGGGUGUGCUCGCGGCCUAUCAGCUAGUUGGUGAGGUAAGGGCUCACCAAGGCCAAGACGGGUAGCCGGCCUGAGAGGGUGUACGGCCACACUGGAAUUGAGAUACGGUCCAGACUCCUACGGGAGGCAGCAGUGGGGAAUUUUGGGCAAUGGGCGAAAGCCUGACCCAGCGACGCCGCGUUGGGGAUGAAGUCCUUCGGGGCGUAAACCCAUGUUGUAGGGGAAGAAGAAAGUGACGGUACCCUACGAGAAAGCCCCGGCCAACUACGUG